AAAUGUCCAGAUAGCCAUUGGCUACCAGGGCAUCCCCUCUGAAGAGAGAGCUGCCUGGAAACAAGGUGCGGGGGUCAGCCCCACAUGGGGAGGCUGAGCUCCCUCAGGGACAGUGUCAGAAUGGAAAGAGAAGUGGGCCCAGCCCAAGGCUCUGGUGACUUUUUAAAGGUAGGAAGAGAAGGGCACAAAGGAAGCUGAGGAAGGGCUCGCCCAAAGCUGUAAGGAGACACCAGGGCCUGCGGUGCCAGGAGCGAUUCAAUAAGGAGAGCGAUGCCCAGCGUCCGAAGCUGAGGGAGAGAGUGCAGAUGACCGAGAGGCGGCGGUGGUGGAAGCAGAUCGACCUCCAGCCCAGCGCCAGCCACCUCAAUUUCCUCCAGAUGAUAAAGUGGCUCUGAUGAUAAGAGGUGAUCCUGAGGCAGAAAACCUCCAGCUCAGGAUUGAGCUGCAGGCCACUGACUGCAUCACUCCCAGCUCUCUACUGCAUUGGAAGAAGGCCCAGUGACGGAGGUGGUCGGCUCAGGCCCCCGCCCUGGGAUGGGGCGGCGAAAGGCGGGAAAUGAACUAGAUGCUCUUGGCCCUUCUCAGAUGCAGACUUCAUCCUUGGCCUGGUUCUUCCCAGCUGCAGCCAUUUCCCAGCCCCUCCCCAGCACGCAUCGUCUCCACCCCUCUCAAUCCCUCCCCUCGGCGGCCUGGCGAAUCCAGAUAAAGGACUCCGGCGGGCCGCGGCCAGUAACCCCACCCGUCCAGACGCGGCUGCCUGAGGGAAGGAGGGGAGGGCGGCGCCCCUUCCCAGCGGAGCGGCCUCGGAAGCGCGCAGGCAUCCGAAACUCGGAUCCCGAAGAUGCCCAGGCUCCACCCAAAAGCCCUUAACCAGGCUCCCGGCUCUGAAUCUGACAGCUGGGGAUCCGACAUGGCCCCCGGCCGGGCGGCGCUGAGCCCCAGUCCCCAGCCGCGGCCGUCCGCGCACGCGCACACCGUCUUGCCCGUGCGGCCAGGUCAGUUUCCCCGUCUGGGCUCCGGGCCCAGUUGCCGGAGCUUCUCGGCGCGGGGUCGGGCCAGGGCCCGGGAGCGGGCUGGCUAGAGAAGCCUGGGGACCCGCGGGCGCGCGCCACCCGAAGGCGGGUCUGGGGGGCCCUCUUGGAGCUGGGCUGAGGCCUCGCUGGAGCCCCUGGUGGCGGAUCCAGGGAAAGACUGCGAUUUUACUCCUCUCGCGCUGUGAUCCCCGCACUGCCUGGGCACUUUUUGGCAUUUUUGUGUAGUGAGAAAGCGGUGCGUGCGGUUUCAGGAUAGACCAUGGGACCAAGUCGUACUGCAGCGGCACCUUCCGUAGUCUUUGUCUUUGUCGCGGCGAGGAUGGAUCAUCUAGAGGAAGGGGAUGGGGAAUGCACGCCAUUCUCAGUCCGAAACCUGGAAAUAAUUUUUUGCAACAAUUUCCAGCCCUCCACUUCCAAUCCGUCACUAAGACCUGCGCCCUCUACCAGCUAAAUAAAUGGCCUUCAAACUUGGACUGAACUAUACCACUGGCUCUCCUGGGUCUCCAGCUUAGAAACAGAAGAUCACGGGACUUCUCCGCCUCCAUAAUCCUAAUCCUGAGGCCACCACUGUGCCAGGAAGAAGCCGGGGAUGCAGGCCCACAUAAGAGAGUGGCUCAGCGCCCAGCCAUCCCAGCUGAGCCCAGCAUCCAGUGGAUGCAGUCACCCAAGCGAACCCAGACAAGACGAGUAGAAGGACUGCCCAGCCAACCCGCAGAACUGUGUAAAAGAAUGAAUUGUCAUUUUUAAGCCACUAAGUGUGGAGUGGCUUGUUUCUCUGCAAUAAGCAACUAAAACACUUUGCAGGGUAACUUCCAAGACAAGGUCACUUCAAGGUCUUCAGGCAAGGCAGCUUGUGCUGCACAGGGGUUUACUGGAGCUGGGGGUGCUCUAAAUCAUCCAAAUCCUGCCAUAUGGCCUCUAAUUCCCUCCCUGAGAUCAGUGCCCUAAAUUUCACCUGAGAUCUAGCAGCACUGUGAUUUCAGCUGACAAACUGACAAUGUAAUUUGUUGACUGCAGCAUCAAACUCCUGUCUUGAUAAGUUAUAUAACAUAGCUUAGCUCUCCCCUCCUGUUGGGCCUCCUCUCGCCUCCCCUCUUGAGUUUGUCAUCUCUGGUUUACACCAAGACAGAAGAAUGACAUGAAAAAAAAAGGAAGUCUGAGAGCUGACCGCUUCUCAGUAGGUGUAUUUGAAGUGUCAGAACACUUUCUAAUUCUUGCUGGAACAGCCAGGUGGAUCAGCUCGUGCCCGGACAUGUGGACUCCGUGCUCCCCCCACAAAUGAAACACUCGUGGUAGGCGUGUAGGGGAGCUGAGCAGACAUGUCCAUGUCACAGAGAGAGAGGAAGAAAGGUGACAGCAAGAGGUAUGGAAGGACCAAGUCCCCCCAAGAGCACCUGGAGGGGAAAUGCGGCGCGUGCUGCCCAGAGAUGCUUCCCCAGAGCUCUGGGAGCACAGAGGCAGCUGCGCUUCUGACAGGGGCCCAGGAAGGGUCUCUGGAGAGUCGGUAACCUUUGAGACAGGCUUUGAAGGAUGAGGAGGGCUCCACUGGCAGGGGUGGGGGGAGACAUGAUACCAGCAGAAGAGGCCACAUGAGCAAAAGGAGAGGGAGGAAAGUCCAGGGGAGGGGAUAAGUCAAGCCGGGGCUGUGGGAAAAGGAGGGAAAUUGGAGCGGUGGGAGUGGCAAAACCAACUGCUCUGCUCCUGCAGAAACGUUCACUGACCUCGGGGCCUCCCCGUCAGCCGCCUCCUCCCAGCCUCUCUCAGAGCAGUUCAGCCCAGCACCUGGCAGCCAGGCCUCCCUCUAUCUCACCCCCACCCUCCCCCAGGCCCCUCGCUGUGUCCCAAGCUCCCGUGGCCCUUCCAGCGGCCGCACCUCUGUUCACGCUGGGCCUCUCUUCCAGAAUGCCUCUUCCCCUCUUUCCUACCAACCUCUAGCACCUCUUCUUCCAGGAAGUCUUCCCUGACCAUUUCAGCUCUGCCUGACCCCCAGGUUGUAUGGCAUGAUGGAAAGAAUCAGGCCUUAAAGUUGUGGAGAUCUGGGUUCAAAUCCCAGCUCUGCAGUAUGAUCUUGAUUUAUUCACCUUCUCUUAUUAAUAGUUAAUAUUUCUCGGCCACGUAUUAUUUGCCAGGUACCAUGGGUUACCUCAUUUCAUUCUCAGCACAGCUCUAUGAGGUACUUACUAUUAUCAUUCCCAUCUUACUAGUGAGGAAACUGAAGCUCAGGGAGGUUAAGUAUCUGGCCCAAGGCCACACAGCUAGGAGUGGCAGAACAGGGAUUCCAGUCUGGUCUGCCAGGCUCCAAUGCCUCUGCUGCAAAGCACCAAAGCACCCACUGGACCACUUCCUUUGAAUGAGCAUUUAUUAGGCACCUCCUAUGUGCCAGGCAUUGUGCUGGGUUUGGGGAUGUGGCCAGGGCGUGGGCAGACAAGGGCUACUCUCAAGGAGGUUUUAGCUGCGGGGACUGGAGUAAAGAUUAUAUAGAAUCCCAUUGGUUACUGACCACCUCCUAUAAACCGUGGAGCACGGAGCUCACGCGUAUCGACCACCUCUCUCCUCCGCAGCCAGCUGACCUGCGCUCCCAUACGUGCCAGGCUCUGUCACAGACCAGCUAGGUGGCCUUGGGCUGGUCACGUUAUUCUCUAAACCCCAGUUUUCUCAUCUAUAACUUGGGAUGGUAAUAGCUACCCCUGAGGGAAGCUCUAAUAAUUAAGAGCUUCCCUCAGGGGUACCCGGCAGUGCAGGGCACAUAGUCGGUGCUCAAUAAAAGUUAAUCCCCAUCUCCCCACAGUGGCACUCACAUCCAGGACCCACACAGUGCAGCAGGUCAUCAUCGCUCUGAGACUUUUAGCAAGCAGUGGUGGAAAUAACAAGGAGGUCCCUUCAAUGGCCUCCAGGUGGCAAGAAAGUUCCACACAGAGCUGUGAUGGGCCAUCAAGGGCACUGACAUGGCUGGUCCAGCCCCAGCCCAACCUUGACCUAUCCACCUCCACCACCUGCCCUUCACACCAGCAACCCCACGCCUCACUGUGAGGUGGGAGCACAGACCU